UACGUAGGGUGCGAGCGUUGUCCGGAAUUAUUGGGCGUAAAGAGCUCGUAGGCGGCUUGUCGCGUCGGAUGUGAAAGCCCGGGGCUUAACUCCGGGUCUGCAUUCGAUACGGGCAGGCUAGAGUUCGGUAGGGGAGAUCGGAAUUCCUGGUGUAGCGGUGAAAUGCGCAGAUAUCAGGAGGAACACCGGUGGCGAAGGCGGAUCUCUGGGCCAUUACUGACGCUGAGGAGCGAAAGCGUGGGUAGCAAACAGG
rnacentral:rRNA from 1 species